GAUGAACGCUGGCGGCGUGCCUAAUACAUGCAAGUCGAGCGAACGGACGAGAAGCUUGCUUCUCUGAUGUUAGCGGCGGACGGGUGAGUAACACGUGGAUAACCUACCUAUAAGACUGGGAUAACUUCGGGAAACCGGAGCUAAUACCGGAUAAUAUUUUGAACCGCAUGGUUCAAAAGUGAAAGACGGUCUUGCUGUCACUUAUAGAUGGAUCCGCGCUGCAUUAGCUAGUUGGUAAGGUAACGGCUUACCAAGGCAACGAUGCAUAGCCGACCUGAGAGGGUGAUCGGCCACACUGGAACUGAGACACGGUCCAGACUCCUACGGGAGCCAGCAGUAGGGAAUCUUCCGCAAUGGGCGAAAGCCUGACGGAGCAACGCCGCGUGAGUGAUGAAGGUCUUCGGAUCGUAAAACUCUGUUAUUAGGGAAGAACAUAUGUGUAAGUAACUGUGCACAUCUUGACGGUACCUAAUCAGAAAGCCACGGCUAACUACGUGCCAGCAGCCGCGGUAAUACGUAGGUGGCAAGCGUUAUCCGGAAUUAUUGGGCGUAAAGCGCGCGUAGGCGGUUUUUUAAGUCUGAUGUGAAAGCCCACGGCUCAACCGUGGAGGGUCAUUGGAAACUGGAAAACUUGAGUGCAGAAGAGGAAAGUGGAAUUCCAUGUGUAGCGGUGAAAUGCGCAGAGAUAUGGAGGAACACCAGUGGCGAAGGCGACUUUCUGGUCUGUAACUGACGCUGAUGUGCGAAAGCGUGGGGAUCAAACAGGAUUAGAUACCCUGGUAGUCCACGCCGUAAACGAUGAGUGCUAAGUGUUAGGGGGUUUCCGCCCCUUAGUGCUGCAGCUAACGCAUUAAGCACUCCGCCUGGGGAGUACGACCGCAAGGUUGAAACUCAAAGGAAUUGACGGGGACCCGCACAAGCGGUGGAGCAUGUGGUUUAAUUCGAAGCAACGCGAAGAACCUUACCAAAUCUUGACAUCCUUUGACAACUCUAGAGAUAGAGCCUUCCCCAUCGGGGGACAAAGUGACAGGUGGUGCAUGGUUGUCGUCAGCUCGUGUCGUGAGAUGUUGGGUUAAGUCCCGCAACGAGCGCAACCCUUAAGCUUAGUUGCCAUCAUUAAGUUGGGCACUCUAAGUUGACUGCCGGUGACAAACCGGAGGAAGGUGGGGAUGACGUCAAAUCAUCAUGCCCCUUAUGAUUUGGGCUACACACGUGCUACAAUGGACAAUACAAAGGGCAGCGAAACCGCGAGGUCAAGCAAAUCCCAUAAAGUUGUUCUCAGUUCGGAUUGUAGUCUGCAACUCGACUACAUGAAGCUGGAAUCGCUAGUAAUCGUAGAUCAGCAUGCUACGGUGAAUACGUUCCCGGGUCU
rnacentral:rRNA from 1 species